GUGAAGUUUACUGAGGAGAAUAUACGACGGAGAAGUUCGGCAGCGAUCGAAGGAAAAGUGUUUUUGUAGUUUCUUGAAAUUCUGGCUUCAGCCAGAAUAAAGAUGCUGCAACUGAUGUAAGGGACAGUAAAAGGACAGAUCGAAAGGUUAAAGGCCCAGCGCCCAUUAAUUUCCUCUCAAAGUAGAAGAAUCAAUUCGCGGAUUCAGCUGACAACGUGUUGGGUUUUAUAGUUUUUUCUGACUUCGUCUUUCGCUUCUGAAAAGUUGUUGGAUCCAUUAUCGCUUGGACUAGAAAAUCUAGGGAUGCGGUGCCGUACCAAAGUGGUGCCUGUUUACAGUGAAAAGUUUCGCCAGUACCGUUUUACUGUUUCAACGUUGUGGACUGAAGACGGAUCUGCAAGGAAUUAAUACAGUGGAAGAUGGAAUUUUCGUUCUUUCCGGGUUUGCAAGAUAUGCGCAGAGAUAAGACUUUGUGGAGCCUAAUCAAGACAAUAUUACCUGAACGUCUUCAGUGUGAACAUCCGCUCAAAGUGAAGAGGUCCAGCAGCACUAGGCUGCUGCAAAGAUACGAACUUGUGCCAGAUUCAACCUAUAAAAUGCAUCCGCAUCCGCAUCUGCUCUACACUCAGAUAUAGUGAUAAUCAUGUAGGAGACAUCACAUCAACAUAUGGGCCAUUCCUGAAAAUUGUGUACUGAGAUUGUGAAUUAUACGAUUAUUGCUUGGUAACAAAAGACUCUUACUAGACGUUGCAUUACUAGACAGGUCAGCCGGGAGAUGUUACCGACUCCUUUUAUAUAAUUGCAAUGUAAAUACAUACUACCUAAUACGAAUAUUGCAUAUAUGAAUGCAUGUGAACUAACCCCGGCUAAGAAGUGCAUUAUGCUUUGAUGAAUGAACAGUUAUCUCCUCUGAGGGGCUUUCUUAACUAGUUUUCCUGUCAAGAAUAAAACAACUGGUGUUGAAGUAA
rnacentral:lncRNA from 1 species